rnacentral:rRNA from 1 species
AAUCAACGCUGGCGGCGUGCCUAACACAUGCAAGUCGAACGCGAAAGCCCCGCAAGGGGUAAGUAGAGUGGCAAACGGGUGAGUAACACGUGGGUGACCUGCCUUCGAGUGGGGGAUAACGUCCCGAAAGGGACGCUAAUACCGCAUGACAUCCUGCUUUUGAAAAAGCGGAGAUCAAAGCUGGGGAUCGCAAGACCUAGCGCUUGAAGAGGGGCCCGCGCCUGAUUAGCUAGUUGGUGAGGUAACGGCUCACCAAGGCGACGAUCAGUAUCCGGCCUGAGAGGGCGGACGGACACACUGGGACUGAGACACGGCCCAGACUCCUACGGGAGGCAGCAGUGGGGAAUUGUUCGCAAUGGGCGCAAGCCUGACGACGCAACGCCGCGUGGAGGACGAAGAUCUUCGGGUCGUAAACUCCUGUCGAGCGGGACGAACGCUUCGCGGAUGAAUAAUCCGCGGAAUGGACGGGACCGCUAAAGGAAGCCCCGGCUAACUCCGU